rnacentral:rRNA from 1 species
UACGUAGGGUGCGAGCGUUGUCCGGAAUUAUUGGGCGUAAAGAGCUCGUAGGCGGUUUGUUGCGUCUAUCGUGAAAACCUGCAGCUUAACUGUGGGCUUGCGGUGGAUACGGGCAGACUUGAGUUCGGUAGGGGAGACUGGAAUUCCUGGUGUAGCGGUGAAAUGCGCAGAUAUCAGGAGGAACACCGGAGGCGAAGGCGGGUCUCUGGGCAGAUACUGACGCUGAGGAGCGAAAGCGUGGGGAGCGAACAGG